rnacentral:hammerhead_ribozyme from 13 species
AAACCGUACGUGCACUACUGACGAGUCCAUAAAAUAGGACGAAACAGUUG